rnacentral:rRNA from 1 species
GACGGACGCUGGCGGCGUGCCUAAUACAUGCAAGUCGAGCGGACCAAACAGGAGCUUGCUCUUGUUUGGUUAGCGGCGGACGGGUGAGUAACACGUGGGUAACCUGCCCGUAAGACCGGGAUAACUCCGGGAAACCGGAGCUAAUACCGGAUAACACCGAAGACCGCAUGGUCUUUGGUUGAAAGGCGGCUUCGGCUGCCACUUACGGAUGGGCCCGCGGCGCAUUAGCUAGUUGGUGAGGUAACGGCUCACCAAGGCGACGAUGCGUAGCCGGCCUGAGAGGGUGACCGGCCACACUGGGACUGAGACACGGCCCAGACUCCUACGGGAGGCAGCAGUAGGGAAUCUUCCGCAAUGGACGAAAGUCUGACGGAGCGACGCCGCGUGAGCGAAGAAGGUCUUCGGAUCGUAAAGCUCUGUUGUUAGGGAAGAAGAAGCGCCGUUCGAACAGGGCGGCGCGGUGACGGUACCUAACGAGAAAGCCCCGGCUAACUACGUG